GUGGGUAUAUAAACUGCUGUAGGCUAAGUGGGUGGAGCUAAACUGCUGUAGGCUGAAUAGGUGGGUAUAUAAACUGCUUUAGGCUAAGUGGGUGGAGCUAAACUGCUGUAGACGGAAUGGGUGGAGCUAAACUGCUGUAGGCGGAAUAGGUGGAGCUAAACUGCUGUAGACGGAAUGGGUGGAGCUAAACUGAUGUAGGCUGAAUAGGUGGGUAUAUAAACUGCUUUAGGCUAAGUGGGUGGAGCUAAACUGCUGUAGACGGAAUGGGUGGAGCUAAACUGCUGUAGGCUGAAUAGGUGGGUAUAUAAACUGCUUUAGGCUAAGUGGGUGGAGCUAAACUGCUGUAGACGGAAUGGGUGGAGCUAAACUGCUGUAGGCUGAAUAGGUGGGUAUAUAAACUGCUUUAGGCUAAGUGGGUGGAGCUAAACUGAUGUAGACGGAAUGGGACCCACACACUAACACACACACACACACAGA